GAAGAUUUCAGUUCAUUCCAGACUCUCCCUAAGUUGCAGUCUUCAACUUUCUGACCAUAAUAUAAGAUUGAUCCUUUACUGACAAAAUUCAUUUCCCUUAUUUCUUCAGGGAUUUUGUUAACUUUCAGGCCAAUCCUCUCAAUCCAAUUCUCAACCAUUAGCAUAACCUGUGGGGCCCCAAAUCCUCUAAAAGCUGUAUUA
rnacentral:misc_RNA from 1 species